UGGCCGGCUAAUAAUGCAAGUCGAGCGACUGAUUAGAAGCUUGCUUCUAUGACGUUAGCGGCGGACGGGCUGAGUAACACGUGGGCAACCUGCCUGUAAGACUGGGAUAACUUCGGGAAACCGAAGCUAAUACCGGAUAGGAUCUUCUCCUUCAUGGGAGAUGAUUGAAAGAUGGUUUCGGCUAUCACUUACAGAUGGGCCCGCGGUGCAUUAGCUAGUUGGUGAGGUAACGGCUCACCAAGGCAACGAUGCAUAGCCGACCUGAGAGGGUGAUCGGCCACACUGGGACUGAGACACGGCCCAGACUCCUACGGGAGGCAGCAGUAGGGAAUCUUCCGCAAUGGACGAAAGUCUGACGGAGCAACGCCGCGUGAGUGAUGAAGGCUUUCGGGUCGUAAAACUCUGUUGUUAGGGAAGAACAAGUACGAUAGUAACUGCUCGUACCUUGACGGUACCUAACCAGAAAAGCCACGGCUAACUACGUGCCAGCAGCCGCGGUAAUACGUAGGUGGCAAG
rnacentral:rRNA from 2 species